rfam:Sporisorium reilianum SRZ2 chromosome 2 complete DNA sequence
GGCGUCGUGGCGCAAUGGCUAGCGCAUAGAGCUUCUAAAAUCUCCAGGUUCGAGGGCGAAGAGCGAGACUCGAACUUGUGAAACAACUCUAAGGCUGCGGGUUCGAGUCCCGCCGUCGCCU